rnacentral:rRNA from 1 species
GACGAAGGGGGCUAGCGUUGUUCGGAAUUACUGGGCGUAAAGCGCGUGUAGGCGGUUUUCCAAGUUGGGUGUGAAAGCCUUGGGCUUAACCCAAGAAAUGCACUCAGUACUGGAAGACUAGAGGACCGGAGAGGAUAGUGGAAUUCCCAGUGUAGUGGUGAAAUACGUAGAGAUUGGGAAGAACACCAGUGGCGAAGGCGGCUUGCCAGAAGUUGCGCUCGACGGUGAGGGAUGAAAGCUGGGGGAGCA